AGAAAGUUGGGCUCUGAUCAAGCAGGAAACAUGUGGAAUUAACAACGUGGACACCUUAUGUGGCACAGCUGUUACGCUUUGAGGAAAGGCGAUUGCUGGUAAGUUCUUCAGGAAGAAACACCUUCAAAAUGGAAAACAGCUGACAUCAAUUAACUUCUGGCUUUUCUGUAAUUUUGUAUGCUGGCCUAUAAUCGUAAAGUAGCAAACAUUUUCAGGUACUGCAACACAUCACUCCGUCAAAACAUAUUACUCCACAAUGAUACAUACAAACUAUGAACGCAGUCAGAAUGAUUUUAUUGAAAUGUUUUAGUACAGUGUUAGAGGAUCUUAAAAU
rnacentral:lncRNA from 1 species